rnacentral:rRNA from 1 species
GCACAACGCGAAGAACCUUACCCACCUUUGACAUGUACGGAAUCCUUUAGAGAUAGAGGAGUGCUCGAAAGAGAGCCGUAACACAGGUGCUGCAUGGCUGUCGUCAGCUCGUGUCGUGAGAUGUUGGGUUAAGUCCCGCAACGAGCGCAACCCUUGCCAUUAGUUGCUACAUUUAGUUGAGCACUCUAAUGGGACUGCCGGUGACAAACCGGAGGAAGGUGGGGAUGACGUCAAGUCCUCAUGGCCCUUAUAGGUGGGCUACACACGUCAUACAAUGGCUGGUACAAAGGGUUGCCAACCCGCGAGGGGGAGCUAAUCCCAUAAAGCCAGUCGUAGUCCGGAUCGCAGUCUGCAACUCGACUGCGUGAAGUCGGAAUCGCUAGUAAUCGUGGAUCAGAAUGUCACGGUGAAUACGUUCCC